GAUGAAGACGUAGCGAAAUGCGAUAAGUAAUGUGAAUUGCAGAAUUCAGUGAAUCAUCGAAUCUUUGAACGCACAUUGCGCCCGCCAGUAUUCUGGCGGGCAUGCCUGUCCGAGCGUCAUUUCAACCCUCGAACCCCUCCGGGGGGUCGGCGUUGGGGAUCGGCCCUUUCACCGGGUGCCGGCCCCUAAAUACAGUGGCGGUCUCGCCGCAGCCUCUCAUGCGCAGUAGUUUGCACACUCGCACCGGGAGCGCGGCGCGUCCUCGUCCGUAAAACACCCCAAACUUCUGAAAUGUUGACCUCGGAUCAGGUAGGAAUACCCGCUGAACUUAAGCAUAUCAAUAAGCGGAGGA
rnacentral:misc_RNA from 1 species